rnacentral:rRNA from 1 species
GUAGGGCGCGAGCGUUGUCCGGAUUGAUUGGGCGUAAAGAGCUCGUAGGCGGCUCGUUGCGUCGGCUGUGAAAACCCGCAGCUCAACUGUGGGCCUGCAGCCGAUACGGGCGGGCUGGAGUUCGGUAGGGGAGACUGGAAUUCCUGGUGUAGCGGUGAAAUGCGCAGAUAUCAGGAGGAACACCGGUGGCGAAGGCGGGUCUCUGGGCCGAUACUGACGCUGAGGAGCGAAAGCGUGGGGAGCGAACAGGAUUAGAUACCCUGGUAGUCCACGCUGUAAACGUUGGGCGCUAGGUGUGGGGGGCCUCUCCGGUUCUCUGUGCCGCAGCUAACGCAUUAAGCGCCCCGCCUGGGGAGUACGGCCGCAAGGCUAAA